UCAAAGAUGGCUACCUAUCAGUGUAAAGAAAAUGACGAGCGAGCUCAGAUGUAAACAGUGCUUUAUCUUUGUUAGUACAGCUGUGUUGUGUGAUUCCUAAAUGAGUGCAAUGGCAUGAGGUAAAAGGUAUGGAGGAGAUGUAAUUUUAAAUUACUGGAACACAGACUCACACAGCAGACCGAGAACUGCAGUAGCCAAGAAAAGGAAGGUCAGACAAGACAGAGAAUAUUAAAUGCUAUAAGAACUGCAACAGGCCUUUAGUUCACAGAGUGAAAGACUCAGAGCAGAGCUUGUGAUAUACAUGUUUGGCAAAUAACAACACAGAUAAGAAAUGAUUUCUGCUAGGAGCAUCUGAGCAAAAAGAAAAAUUCAUAGAACAGUGUUCAAAAUAUAAAAAGAAACAAAACAAUUGUCACAAGUUCAUAACAUCUCCAGGAACAAUGGAGAAUGAGGUCAGACCAGGAAUGUUGAGAGAAUAUAACCACAUGAAUGACACAGACAGCAAAGCAAAUCUAGUAAUGGACCAGAACAUUAAAGUUAACAAUCUGACAAGCUGUGUUAGUGAAAGAACUGAAGGAAAAUGUCCAAAAGAGGAAGAGAAGAUUCUGGUCAGAAGGCAGAUGGCAGAGCGUGGUCGAGAAAGAGAAAGAGAUAACUCAGCAGAGGAUAGACAGCGUAAGGACCGCGUCCAAGAGAGAAAGAGGGAAGAAAGGUUUGGAGACAGACGCUGGAUUGGAUCUGAAAGACAGCUAGAAGAACAGGACUAUAAGAACUUGUCAAGUUCAAUAAGUCAAAGCAGAGAAGCAGGAAGCAGAAUGUGACCAUCACUAUACUGAUAUGUAGUUAUUUUCCAGGAUGCAAUGGUUUAUUGCUUGUUAAGCUUGCCUAUGAAGCUUGUAAGAUUAAUUUGUUUUCGUGCAACUCUGUUGCUCCUUGUCCCUUUCCAGCAGGAAAAACUGUUUUUCAUCUGUCUCAUGCAUGUGUAAAUCUCAUGGUUAGUGUCUAUUACUUUGUCUGCUGUCCUGUCUGUUAAGAAAUGCUUCCUUACAUUUCCUCUGAAUUGCCCCACUGCCAUCUUUCACUUUCUAGUAUGGAAGCAUCUUUAUAUAUACAGAUAAAGCACUUAUAACAUAUGCUCUUUCAUGGAAAGAAUUGUGCAUCACAUGCCAUUUCCAUUCUGUCCUCUCCUCAGGGAAUUACAUUUCUUUCCUUUAGCCAAUAUGUUCUCAUGAUUUGUGAUGCGAUCCCAAGUUAAUAAAUUAGGAAACAAAGAAAUGAGAAAGUAUAGCCAGUUAACAAGCUUCCACAUGUGAGAAACAUUCAGUUACAAAGACAUUAAGCUUUGCAUGAAUUCAUUCUCUAGUGUAACUACUGUUAUUAUGAAAGGUGUGUCAUGACUGUAAUAUAAAAAAUAGAAGAGCAAAGAUACUUGAUCUACCCUUUAAAACAAAACAUGUUGUGUUACUUUACCAGUCUGUACACCUUACGUCACCAUAAAAUUAAAUUUAAAAUUGCCUUA